AAAGGUUUGGUCCUGGCCUUUUUAUUGGCUCCUAGUGAACUUACACAUGCAAACAUCCGUGCUCCGGUGAGAAUGCCCUCCAGAUCAGUAUGAUCAAAAGGAGCGGGUAUCAAGCCCACUAUANUUAGUUGCUCAUNACACCUUGCUCAACCACACCCCCACGGGAUACAGCAGUGACUAAGAUUAAGCACAUGAACGAAAGUUCGACUAAGUUACACUACNNNNCUAGGGUUGGUAAAUUUCGUGCCAGCCACCGCGGUCAUACGAUUAACCCUAGUCAAUAAAACACGGCGUAAAGCGUGAUUNAGAAUAACAAACUUAAUAAGACCAAGUUUAAGCUAAGCUGUAAAAAGCCCUAGCUACAAUAAAGAUAGUCNAACGAAAGUAAUCUUAGAAGUUUUGAACUCACGAUAGCUAAGACCCAAACUGGGAUUAGAUACCCCACUAUGCUUAGCCCUAAACCUAAAUUCUCAAAUAACAAGAUUAUUCGCCAGAGUACUACUAGCCAUAGCUUAAAACUCAAAGGACUUGNCGGUGCUUUACAUCCCUCUAGAGGAGCCUGUUCUAUAAUCGAUAAACCCCGAUAUACCUUACCACCUUUUGCAAAUAUCAGCCUAUAUACCGCCAUCUUCAGCAAACCUUAAUAAAGCCUCACAGUAAGCACAAUAAUACACUAUAAAAACGUUAGGUCAAGGUGUAGCCUAUAAGGUGGAAAGAAAUGGGCUACAUUUUCUACCUUCUAGAACAANCCCNNNACGAUAGCUUUCAUGAAACUUAAAGCCUAAGGCGGAUUUAGUAGUAAGUUAAGAAUAGAGAGCUUAGCUGAAUCGGGCAAUAAAGCACGCACACACCGCCCGUCACCCUCUUCAAGUCCUACAGACAGGUAACUNNNAUACCUAANUACACCUUAUUAGUAGCAUGAGAAGAGAUAAGUCGUAACAAGGUAAGCAUACUGGAAAGUGUGUUUGGAAUAAU
rnacentral:ncRNA from 1 species